rnacentral:rRNA from 1 species
CCUACGUGUGGCAGCAGUGGGGAAUAUUGCGCAAUGGGCGAAAGCCUGACGGAGCGACGCCGCGUGAGGGAUGAAGGUCUUCGGAUCGUAAACCUCUGUCAGCAGGGAAGAACGGUCACUUUGCUAAUCAGCAGUACAUUGACGGUACCUGCAAAGAAAGCACCGGCUAACUCCGUGCCAGCAGCCGCGGUAAUACGGAGGGGGCGAGCGUUAAUCGGAAUUACUGGGCGUAAAGCGCUCGUAGGCGGUAUGUCAAGUCAAGGGUGAAAUCCCCGCGCUCAACGUGGGAACGGCCUUUGAAACUGGGAGACUGGAGUGUGUGAGAGGAGAGUGGAAUUCCAGGUGUAGGAGUGAAAUCCGUAGAUAUCUGGAGGAACAUCAGUGGCGAAGGCGACUAUCUGGAACAUAACUGACGCUGAGGAGCGAAAGCGUGGGUAGCAAACAGGAUUAGAUACCCCGGUAGUC